rnacentral:tRNA from 1 species
GAUCCCGUAGCUCAACGGAUAGAGCAACUGCCUUCUAAGCAGUAGGUUGCAGGUUCAAGUCCUGCCGGGAUCGCCA